GGUUACAUCUCGUUGAAACACCGGUUCCCGUACGAUCAGGGAAGUUAAGCAACGUCAAGACUGACUAGUAGUCAGAUGGAUGACCGCUUAGAAAAACCAGGUGCCGUAAGC